GGGCCCGCACAAGCGGUGGAGUAUGUGGUUUAAUUCGAUGCAACGCGAAGAACCUUACCAGGGUUUGACAUCCUGCGAAUCUCUUGGAAACGAGAGAGUGCCUUCGGGAACGCAGUGACAGGUGGUGCAUGGCUGUCGUCAGCUCGUGUCGUGAGAUGUUGGGUUAAGUCCCGCAACGAGCGCAACCCACGUCUUUAGUUGCCAGCAUUUAGUUGGGCACUCUAGAGAGACUGCCGGUGAUAAACCGGAGGAAGGUGUGGAUGACGUCAAGUCAUCAUGCCCCUUACAUCCUGGGCUACACACGUGCUACAAUGGGAAGUACAGAGGGAUGCGAAAGCGCGAGCUGGAGCCAAACCUUAAACUUUUCUUAGUCCGGAUUGGAGUCUGCAACUCGACUCCAUGAAGUCGGAAUCACUAGUAAUCG
rnacentral:rRNA from 1 species